UGGAAAUACAGUGGACCUUCAGAUAUCCGGACGCCAGAUAUCCGGACACUUCAGUUUCCGGACGAUUUUUCAUGGGAACGAAAUUUUUUAACGUUAUUUUGUCUCGUUUAACCGGAAUUCCGCGUAUUCGGACGCUUCACAUAUCCGGACAAAUUGACUGGGAACCAAAGCGUCCGGAUACAUGAGGCUCCACUGUAG